rnacentral:lncRNA from 1 species
ACCCCUACCUCACUCAAACUACCUCCAAACCCCAAAUUUCUCCACAUUUUACCUCUUGUCUUUGAAGUAAAUGAUUAAUUUCUUUCCCAUUUUGCUCUUCACUGGCAGAAGUGGAGAUCUGGCACAUUUUUUUCCCAUUUUCCUCUUCAACGGAGACUGGCGGUGAACUGAGUAUCGCCAUGUACAGCACUAGAUUGUUGCUCCGC